rnacentral:rRNA from 1 species
GUGAGGAAUUUUCCGCAAUGGGCGAAAGCCUGACGGAGCAAUGCCGCGUGAAGGAUGAAGGCCUAUGGGUUGUAAACUUCUUUUCUUAGAGAAGAAUAUUGACGGUAUCUGAGGAAUAAGCACCGGCUAACUCCGUGCCAGCAGCCGCGGUAAUACGGAGGGUGCAAGCGUUAUCCGGAAUCACUGGGUUUAAAGGGUACGUAGGCGGUUAAUUAAGUCAGUAGUGAAAGACUGUCGCUCAACGACGGAUGUGCUAUUGAUACUGGUUAACUUGAAUCAGGUUAGAGUUGGCGGAAUUGGUCAUGUAGCGGUGAAAUGCUUAGAUAUGACUUGGAACACCGAUAGCGAAGGCAGCUGACUGAGCCUUGAUUGACGCUGAGGUACGAAAGUGUGGGUAGCGAACAGGAUUAGAAACCCCAGUAGUCC